rnacentral:tRNA from 1 species
GAGGAUAUAGCUCAGUGGUAGAGCACGUCGUGCGUAGCAUGCACGAGGUCCUGGGUUCAAUCCCCAGUACCUCCA